UUAAAGUUGUUGCAGUUAAAAAGCUCGUAGUUGAACCUUGGGCCUGGCUGGCCGGUCCGCCUCACCGCGUGCACUGGUCCGGCCGGGCCUUUCCUYCUGGGGAGCCGCAUGCCCUYCACUGGGUGUGUCGGGGAACCAGGACUUUUACUUUGAAAAAAUUAGAGUGUUCAAAGCAGGCCUAUGCUCGAAUACAUUAGCAUGGAAUAAUA
rnacentral:rRNA from 1 species